CUCUCUGGAUCAGUGGCGAACGGGUGAGAACACGUGAGCAAUCUGCCCCUGACUCUGGGAUAACAGUUGGAAACAGCUGCUAAUACCGGAUACGAGCUGCGAAGGCAUCUUCAGCAGCUGGAAAGAACUUCGGUCAGGGAUGAGCUCGCGGCCUAUCAGCUUGUUGGUGAGGUAACGGCUCACCAAGGCGUCGACGGGUAGCCGGCCUGAGAGGGUGACCGGCCACACUGGGACUGAGACACGGCCCAGACUCCUACGGGAGGCAGCAGUGGGGAAUAUUGCACAAUGGGCGAAAGCCUGAUGCAGCAACGCCGCGUGAGGGACGACGGCCUUCGGGUUGUAAACCUCUUUUAGCAGGGAAGAAGCGAAAGUGACGGUACCUGCAGAAAAAGCACCGGCUAACUACGUGCCAGCAGCCGCGGUAAUACGUAGGGUGCAAGCGUUAUCCGGAAUUAUUGGGCGUAAAGAGCUCGUAGGCGGUUUGUCGCGUCUGCUGUGAAAACUGGAGGCUCAACCUCCAGCCUGCAGUGGGUACGGGCAGACUAGAGUGCGGUAGGGGAGANUGGAAUUCCUGGUGUAGCGGUGGAAUGCGCAGAUAUCAGGAGGAACACCGAUGGCGAAGGCAGAUCUCUGGGCCGUAACUGACGCUGAGGAGCGAAAGGGUGGGGAGCAAACAGGCUUAGAUACCCUGGUAGUC
rnacentral:rRNA from 1 species